rnacentral:misc_RNA from 1 species
GAUGAAGAACGUAGCGAAAUGCGAUAAGUAAUGUGAAUUGCAGAAUUCAGUGAAUCAUCGAAUCUUUGAACGCACCUUGCGCCCUUUGGCUAUUCUGAAGGGCAUGCCUGUUUGAGUAUCGUGAACACCUCAACUCUCAUGGUCUGCCAUGAUGAGCUUGGACUUUGGGGGUCUUGCUGGCCUACUGUCAGCUCCUCUCAAAUGAAUCAGCUUACCAGUGUUUGGUGGCACCACAGGUGUGAUAACUAUCUACGCUUGUGGUUUUCUGCCAGGUAACCUCCAGUGAUGGAGGUUCGCUGGAGCUCACAAAUGUCUCUCCUCAGAGAGGACAGCUUUUUGAACGUUUGAUCUCAAAUCAGGUAGGACUACCCGCUGAACUUAAGCAUAUCAAUAAGCGGAGGA